GACGAACGCUGGCGGCGUGCUUAACACAUGCAAGUCGAACGGAAAGGCCCUGCUUUUGUGGGGUGCUCGAGUGGCGAACGGGUGAGUAACACGUGAGUAACCUGCCCUUGACUUUGGGAUAACUUCAGGAAACUGGGGCUAAUACCGGAUAGGAGCUCCUGCUGCAUGGUGGGGGUUGGAAAGUUUCGGCGGUUGGGGAUGGACUCGCGGCUUAUCAGCUUGUUGGUGGGGUAGUGGCUUACCAAGGCUUUGACGGGUAGCCGGCCUGAGAGGGUGACCGGCCACAUUGGGACUGAGAUACGGCCCAGACUCCUACGGGGGGCAGCAGUGGGGAAUAUUGUACAAUGGGCGGAAGCCUGAUGCAGCAACGCCGCGUGCGGGAUGACGGCCUUCGGGUUGUAAACCGCUUUCGCCUGUGACGAAGCGUGAGUGACGGUAAUGGGUAAAGAAGCACCGGCUAACUACGUG
rnacentral:rRNA from 1 species